rnacentral:rRNA from 1 species
UACGGAGGGUGCAAGCGUUGUUCGGAAUCAUUGGGCGUAAAGCGCGUGUAGGCGGCUUGGCAAGUCAGUUGUGAAAGCCCGGGGCCCAACCCCGGAACUGCAUCUGAAACUGCCUGGCUAGAGUCCCGGAGAGGAAGGCAGAAUUCCCGGUGUAGGGGUGAAAUCCGUAGAUAUGCGGAGGAACACCGAUGGCGAAGGCAAUCCCCUGGGCCUGCACUGACGCUCAUGCACGAAAGCGUGGGGAGCAAACAGG